AGAAUGUGUUGACCAGGCCAA
rnacentral:siRNA from 1 species